GGACGCAGUGGGAGCCUGCAGCCUUCAAGUUAAACUGCUGCAGGCGGGCCAGGUCCGAGAACCCGGCAGAACGUCAACAGGGCCAGCCAGGAGAGUCCUGGCUUCACGCAGAAUGGACGUCAAACCAGGGGCGCCUGGGUGGCUCAGUCGGCCAUUCUUCAGAAAAUCCAGGGCCCCUGCGACGCGACAAGGCCACAGAGGAAUUUCCAGGAGUCCCAAUGCAACCAGUGAAGGAGCCCGGAGGUCAGGAAUCCCUGGCUGGGGACCAAGGAGCAUCUCAGCAGGUGCCUAUGAGGACCGACUAAGCAGCUGGGUGGCUCCCCUUGACUUUGACCACAUAAGCGGUCCCCUUUUCCCUCCACCUCCCUCUAGGACAUAAUCCCAGGGAAAGGACAGAGAGAAACUCUUACUAAGAAAA